rnacentral:rRNA from 1 species
UAGGGAAUCUUCCACAAUGGACGCAAGUCUGAUGGAGCAACGCCGCGUGAGUGAAGAAGGUUUUCGGACCGUAAAGCUCUGUUGUUGGUGAAGAAGGAUAGAGGUAGUAACUGGCCUUUAUUUGACGGUAAUCAACCAGAAAGUCACGGCUAACUACGUGCCAGCAGCCGCGGUAAUACGUAGGUGGCAAGCGUUGUCCGGAUUUAUUGGGCGUAAAGCGAGCGCAGGCGGAAGAAUAAGUCUGAUGUGAAAGCCCUCGGCUUAACCGAGGAAUUGCAUCGGAAACUGUUUUCUUGAGUGCAGAAGAGGAGAGUAGAACUCCAUGUGUAGCGGUGGAAUGCGUAGAUAUAUGGAAGAAUACCAGUGGCGAAGGCGGCUCUCUGGUCUGCAACUGACGCUGAGGCUCGAAAGCAUGGGUAGCGAACAGGA